UUUCCGUAGGUGAACCUGCGGAAGGAUCAUUAAAUAAUUUAGAUGACCUCCUAGAACUUGUUCUAGUUAGGUUCAUUCUUUUUUACUGUGAACUGUUUUAAUAUUGAGCGUUUGAGGAAUGUCUUUUAGUCAUAGGGAUAGACUAUUAGAAUGUUAACCGAGCUGAAGUCAGGUUUAGACCUGGUAUCCUAUUAAUUAUUUACCAAAAGAAUUCAGUAUUAUUAUUGUAACAUAAGCGUAAAAAACUUAUAAAACAACUUUUAACAACGGAUCUCUUGGUUCUC
rnacentral:misc_RNA from 1 species